rnacentral:lncRNA from 1 species
GAUGCUUGAUAGCUGUGGGGAUUGAGCCAGGGGGAAGCACAUAUUAUGCGUCGGUUCUACAAAUGAACAGCAUCCCUAGAUUUCAUUCUCUAGAGACAAGACUGGCCUUUAACUUCAGACCCCUCCUAAGUCUGGGGACUACAUGCAUGGGCCACCACACCCAUCCAGUCAGUCCUUGUUUACUUAAAGGAAGAAUUUAGGCAAGGUCUGUCUAUGCACAGAUGUGUUCUGCUGAGUAUGUGGAACCAUACAAAAACCUAUAAGGGAACUUUUUACCCAGUUAAAGGAACGGGUUGGCUUAUUUUAUAUCAUUUAAGGAUAUAUUCACCUUCCUGCCUCCAUUUCCUUUGUGCUGGGAUUAUAGGCCUGUAUUUAUACCCAUCCAUAUAUUUCUUGAGAAUCAAGCCUUUAGGGUAUUAGGGAUUUUCAGUUAGACUGUGUAGGUCUUUGCAGAAGACUCUGAGGAAAAUUAGUACUGAUCUCUGGGCCUAAUAAAUGAGGGUAGCAGAAACCUGUGGUAAGUCAAGAAUGCCUUGUUUUUCAGACUUAGAUAAGAAGGCAAAUCUCCUCAAGUGUGAAUACUGUGGGAAGUACGCCCCAGCAGAGCAGUUUCGAGGCUCUAAAAGGUUCUGCUCCAUGACAUGUGCAAAGAGGUACAAUGUGAGCUGUAGUCACCAGUUCCGCUUGAAGAGGAAAAAAAUGAAAGAGUUUCAGGAAGCCAGCUAUGCACGUGUUCGGAGGCGUGGACCCCGCCGCAGCUCCUCUGACAUUGCUCGUGCUAAGAUCCAGGGCAAGC